CCUACGGGGGGCGGCAGUUGGGAAUAUUGCGCAAUGGGCGAAAGCCUGACGCAGCGACGCCGCGUGAAGGAAGAAGCCUCUAGGGGUGUAAACUUCUUUUGUUUGGGAGGAUUAUGACAUUACCAAACGAAUAAGUGACGGCUAACUACGUGCCAGCAGCCCCGGUC
rnacentral:rRNA from 1 species